rnacentral:rRNA from 1 species
GACGAACGCUGGCGGCGUGCUUAACACAUGCAAGUCGAACGGAAAGGCCCUGCUUUUGUGGGGUGCUCGAGUGGCGAACGGGUGAGUAACACGUGAGUAACCUGCCCUUGACUUUGGGAUAACUUCAGGAAACUGGGGCUAAUACCGGAUAGGAGCUCCUGCCGCAUGGUGGGGGUUGGAAAGUUUCGGCGGUUGGGGAUGGACUCGCGGCUUAUCAGCUUGUUGGUGGGGUAGUGGCUUACCAAGGCUUUGACGGGUAGCCGGCCUGAGAGGGUGACCGGCCACAUUGGGACUGAGAUACGGCCCAGACUCCUACGGGAGGCAGCAGUGGGGAAUAUUGCACAAUGGGCGGAAGCCUGAUGCAGCAACGCCGCGUGCGGGAUGACGGCCUUCGGGUUGUAAACCGCUUUCGCCUGUGACGAAGCGUGAGUGACGGUAAUGGGUAAAGAAGCACCGGCUAACUACGUGCCAGCAGCCGCGGUGAUACGUAGGGUGCGAGCGUUGUCCGGAUUUAUUGGGCGUAAAGGGCUCGUAGGUGGUUGAUCGCGUCGGAAGUGUAAUCUUGGGGCUUAACCCUGAGCGUGCUUUCGAUACGGGUUGACUUGAGGAAGGUAGGGGAGAAUGGAAUUCCUGGUGGAGCGGUGGAAUGCGCAGAUAUCAGGAGGAACACCAGUGGCGAAGGCGGUUCUCUGGGCCUUUCCUGACGCUGAGGAGCGAAAGCGUGGGGAGCGAACAGGCUUAGAUACCCUGGUAGUCCACGCUGUAAACGGUGGGUACUAGGUGUGGGGUCCAUUCCACGGGUUCCGUGCCGUAGCUAACGCUUUAAGUACCCCGCCUGGGGAGUACGGCCGCAAGGCUAAAACUCAAAGGAAUUGACGGGGCCCCGCACAAGCGGCGGAGCAUGCGGAUUAAUUCGAUGCAACGCGUAGAACCUUACCUGGGUUUGACAUGGAUCGGGAGUGCUCAGAGAUGGGUGUGCCUCUUUUGGGGUCGGUUCACAGGUGGUGCAUGGCUGUCGUCAGCUCGUGUCGUGAGAUGUUGGGUUAAGUCCCGCAACGAGCGCAACCCUUGUUCACUGUUGCCAGCACGUUAUGGUGGGGACUCAGUGGAGACCGCCGGGGUCAACUCGGAGGAAGGUGGGGAUGACGUCAAGUCAUCAUGCCCCUUAUGUCCAGGGCUUCACGCAUGCUACAAUGGCUGGUACAGAGGGUGGCGAGCCUGUGAGGGUGAGCGAAUCUCGGAAAGCCGGUCUCAGUUCGGAUUGGGGUCUGCAACUCGACCUCAUGAAGUCGGAGUCGCUAGUAAUCGCAGAUCAGCAACGCUGCGGUGAAUACGUUCCCGGG